GUGGGGAAUCUUAGACAAUGGGCGCAAGCCUGAUCUAGCCAUGCCGCGUGAGCGAUGAAGGCCUUAGGGUUGUAAAGCUCUUUCGCUGGGGAAGAUAAUGACUGUACCCAGUAAAGAAGCCCCGGCUAACUCCGUGCCAGCAGCCGCGGUAAUACGGAGGGGGCUAGCGUUGUUCGGAAUUACUGGGCGUAAAGCGCGCGUAGGCGGAUUGGAAAGUUGGGGGUGAAAUCCCGGGGCUCAACCUCGGAACUGCCUUCAAAACUCCCAGUCUUGAGUUCGAGAGAGGUGAGUGGAAUUCCGAGUGUAGAGGUGAAAUUCGUAGAUAUUCGGAGGAACACCAGUGGCGAAGGCGGCUCACUGGCUCGAUACUGACGCUGAGGUGCGAAAGCGUGGGGAGCAAACAGGAUUAGAAACCCUAGUAGUCC
rnacentral:rRNA from 1 species